GUGCGGAAUGAAAGUGAAGGGCAUGCCCUGCCAACCGACCUUGACCUGCUGUGAGGGGUUUGAGUGGAGCACACCUGUCGGGACCCGAAAGAUGGUGAACUAUGCCUGGGUAGGGUGAAGCCAGAGGAAACUCUGGUGGAGGCUCGUAGCGAUACUGACGUGCAAAUCGUUCGUCGAAUCUGGGUAUAGGGGCGAAAGACUAAUCGAACCAUCUAGUAGCUGGUUCCCUCCGAAGUUUCCCACAGGAUAGCUUGAACGCAACGGUUUUGUCAGGUAAAGCGAAUGAUUAGAGGCCUGUGGGCUGAAACAGCUUGCACCUAUUCUCAAACUUUAAAUGGGCAAGAGGCCCGGGAUGCUUGAGUGAUCCCGGGCGGCGAACGGCGCGUUCAAAGUGGGCCAUUUUUGGUAAGCAGAACUGGCGAUGCGGGAUGAACCGAACGCCGCGCUAAGGUACCCAAGUGUCCGCUCAUCAGAUACCACAAAAGGCGUUGGUACCUCCAGACAGCAGGACGGUGGCCAUGGAAGUCGGAACCCGCUAAGGAGUGUGUAACAACUCACCUGCCGAAGGUACUAGCCCUGAAAAUGGAUGGCGCUCAAGCGGACCACCGAUGCGCGGCCGCCGGCGCGAGCGCGAGGCGCCGGCGAGUAGGAGGGCGCGGGGCUCGCGGCGCAGCCUUGGGCGCGAGCCUGGGUGAAGCGGGCCCCGGUGCAGAUCUUGGUGGUAGUAGCAAAUAUUCAAAUGAGAACUUUGAAGACUGAAGUGGAGAAAGGUUCCGUGUGAACAGCAGUUGGACACGGGUGAGCCGACCCUAAGAGACAGGAAAACUCCGCCGAACGCGGCUGGUUCUGUCAGCCCGUCCGUCGAAAGGGAAUCGGGUUAAUAUUCCCGAGCCAGCGCGUGGAUGGUGGGCGGCGACGCGAACGAACCCGGAGACGCCGGCGGGAGCCCUGGGAAGAGUUCUCUUUUCUUCUUAACUGCCUCCUGCCCUGGAAUCGGUUUAGCCGGAGCGAGGGCUACACGGCAGGCAAAGCACCCUAAGUCUUGGGGUGUCCGGCGCGCUCCCGACGGCCCGUGAAAAUCCGGGGGAGCGGUUCGUUCUCACGCCUGGUCGUACUCAUAACCGCAUCAGGUCUCCAAGGUGAACAGCCUCUAGUCGAUAGAGCAAUGUAGGUAAGGGAAGUCGGCAAAAUGGUUCCGCAACCUCGGGAGAAGGAAUGGCUCUGAAGGCUGGGCGCAGGGGUCCUAGGCUCGAGGCCGGCUGGCUGCGCGGGGACUACGGCCUCACGGCUGCGGAUCCCGCGCGGCCGUCCGGCGGACGGCCUAGGAGCGCUCCGGCUCUCCCUGCGCGACGAACAGCCGCUUCAGAACUGGCGCGGACAAGGGGAAUCCGACUGUUUAAUUAAAACAAAGCAUUGCGAUGGCCCGCGAGGGUGCUGACGCAAUGUGAUUUCUGCCCAGUGCUCUGAAUGUCAAAGUGAAGAAAUUCAACCAAGCGCGGGUAAACGGCGGGAGUAACUAUGACUCUCUUAAGGUAGCCAAAUGCCUCGUCAUCCAAUUAGUGACGCGCAUGAAUGGAUUCGUGAGAUUCCCACUGUCCCUAUCUACUGUCUAGCGAAGCCACAGCCAAGGGAACGGGCUUGGAAGAAUCAGCGGGGAAAGAAGCCCUGUUGAGCUUGACUCUAGUCUGUUACUGUGGAACGACUUGAUGGGUGUAGAAUAUGCGGGAGGGGCAACCCGACAGUGAAAUACCGCAACCGUCAACGUUGUUUUACUUACUCGGUGGCGCGGAGGGAGGCUCGCCUCACUUCUGGAUCCAAGCCGCUUCGUGCGCGCGAUCCGCGUCGGGGACACUAACAGGUGGGGAGUUUGGCUGGGGCGGCACGUCUGUUAAAAAAUAACGCAGGCGCCCGAUUUUGAGCUCAAUGAGAACAGAAAUCUCAUGUGGACCGAAAGGGGAAAAGCUCGGUUGAUUUUGAUUUUCAGUACGAAUACAAACCGCGAAAGCGUGGCCUAUCGAUCCUCUCGUCUUUGGGAAUUUCAAGCUAGAGGUGUCAGAAAAGUUACCACAGGGAUAACUGGCUUGUGGCUGCCAAGCGUUCAUAGCGACGUAGCUUUUUGAUCCUUCGAUGUCGGCUCUUCCUAUCACUGCCUCGCAGCGGGGGCCAAAUGUAGGAUUGUUCACCCACCAACAGGGAACGUGAGCUGGGUUUAGACCGUCGUGAGACAGGUUAGUUUUACCCUACUGCUGUCUGUUUUUCUACGGUAAUUUGGUUCAGUACGAGAGGAACCACCAAUUCGCAUCAUCGGUAUAGCCGCCGCCGGAAACGGCGAUGCGGCGAAGCUGCCAUGCGCCGGAUUAUAACUGAACGCCUCUAAGUUAGAAUCCAUGCCGGAAGGAAAGCCACCUACCGGCCCGGGGACGCCACGAGCAACGGUAGCACUGCCUGAGCCGCGAGCGACCACAAUUCACGGACCCGGGCCGACGAAUCCCUUGCAGACGACUUGAAUAAGGAACGGGGUAUUGUACGCGGCAGAGUGGCCUUGUUGCCACGAUCCGCUGAGAUUCAGCCUUGGUUCUGACGAUU
rnacentral:rRNA from 1 species